AUUGGAGUGGUACUGUGUUGCAUCAUUUCAGCCACAUGCCACAUCCUUCUAUGUGGCAUCCCUCCAGCUGUUUAUCUCUGCAUGGAAAGCAAGAGCUGGGCCUCAAACCAGGACUUAACCUGCAGCAGAACCCUGAUCUAUGCCGUGGUUCAAGUCCCGUUUGGAGGAGGAGAGGUGCCUCUGAAUCUGCCCCAAAGCUGUGUGGAAUACAAGAUGAUGAACACUUGAAGGGACUCGACUUCAAUAUUUUUCAUUGAGUUCAGAUUAAAACUGAGUAACCAGACAGCUGCUCGAAUGGAAUAAUGACGGAACACAUCUCUAUGACAUAUAUAUAUUUAUAUAUAUAUAUAUAUAUAUAUAUAUAUAUAUACAAUUUAUAUAUAAAAAAACAAAACAUUUCAGCAGGAAAAUUGAUGCCCUCAGUUUUCACCUCUUAAAGGGAACACAUUUGCAACCCUACUUCUUUGAAAUCAGAACAUUUUUUUGGCAUGCCUUUGCCUUUUAUUAGAGGGCCCUGUAGCAGGAAUGUAAUUUCUAAAUCCCGUCAUAUCAUCUUAUUAUCUAAUUCAAUUUUCUUUUUACAUUGCUGUACUCUAUUUUUUCAGAAUUAUGAACUCUUCUUAAAUGUUUUGUUCUAUUUUAUUGUGGUUCUUGUGGCUAACCCUUUUGCACCAAUACACCAAGACAAAUUCCUUGUAUGUGUAAAUGUACUUGGAAAUAAAAAACAAUUCUGAUUCUGAUUCUAUUACCCUUUAAAUUUGAUUAAAA